GACGAACGCUGGCGGCAUGCCUAACACAUGCAAGUCGAACGGAACGGUCGGGUCUAGUGUGGCGCGUGCGGGUACCGGGGUGGCGCAUGCGCGUGUAACCGGAGUAACUCCCCGACAGAGGUGCUAAUAACGGCUGGUGUAUUCGGACCAAAGGUUUAUCGGCUUUGGGUGUGGCCGCGGUGGUUUAGCUAGUUGGUAGGGUAAAUGCCGACCAACGCGCAGCGUAUUAGCUGGUCUGAGAGGAUGAGCAGCCACACUGGGACUGAGACACGGCCGAGACUCCGACGGGAGGCAGCAGUGGGGAAUACUGGACAAGGGGCGAAAGCUUGAGCAAGCAAUGCCGCGUGAGGGAUGCAGGUCUUAGGGUUGUAAAGCUCUUUUAGCUGGGAGGAUAAUGACAGUACUGGGAGAAGAAGCGCCGGCUAACUCCGUG
rnacentral:rRNA from 1 species